UAUCAACGCAAAGUACUUGGGAUAUAAUUCCACGUUGAAUAAUUUUAGCUGUAAGUCAAAUUGUAACAGUUUAAUCAUAAAAUGUUUAUAUAUGAGUGUUAAUUUAUUAAACUGUCUUUCAAUGCAAA